CUCGACUCGUCAUGGCCUUCAAAAUUGACUUGAAAAGUUGGUCUUUGUUUUGUCUGUCGGAUUUGGUCCAAAUUUAGCCCAAAAAUAGAUGUGAAAUAACAGUGAAAUUCUGCGUGACUUCCACGUGCUGUAAUGUGCGCGCGCGCAGAACUGGAGCGGAGGACAUCACCAUGGAAACGAGGCGGCAGCCCAACCGUCAAGCAGCUGAUCGCUGACACUCAAUGUGGUUUCACUUUUUUUUUUUUAGAAAUGGUUUAGCGUCGUCAGAAAAAGUCCGUUAGCAUCUCAAAGAAGUGCCAGAAAAAAACCUCUAUGACGCAGGAGAAGUUCCUGAUUUUAACAUUUCUGAAGGGAGCUGCUGACAGAGAGGAUGAAAACAUACACAUUUUGAUGUCCACGCUGUAGGAGCAUUACUAAAUAAUGCUUAUGUUCCUAGGUUCUUCCAUGCUGAUGGCUGUGCUCUAGUCAUAUCUCCUGUCGAAGAACAUUUUUAGACAUUAUGAACCAUGAAUAAGUUUACCUCCAACCCCAGUUAAGCAGACCUGAGCAGCUGAUCAAGGAACAGCAGAAACU